GGUGGUAGCUCAGUGGUAAAGCACUUGCUUUACAUGUGUGAGGCCCUGGGUUCAACACUCAGCACCA
rnacentral:tRNA from 1 species